CUGCUUUAACCUUGGAAAUCAAGGAUGGGUGAAGCCUGUUGGAAUAACUCUAGGCGACCCAUACUUGGUUUCAAGGGUCAGCAG
rnacentral:pre_miRNA from 14 species